UACAGAGGUCCCAAGCGUUGUUCGGAUUCAUUGGGCGUAAAGGGUGUGUAGGUGGCGCCGUAAGUCGGGUGUGAAAUCUCGGGGCUUAACCCCGAAACUGCAUUCGAUACUGCGGUGCUUGAGGACUGGAGAGGAGACUGGAAUUCAUGGUGUAGCAGUGAAAUGCGUAGAGAUCAUGAGGAAGACCAGUGGCGAAGGCGGGUCUCUGGACAGUUCCUGACACUGAGACACGAAGGCCAGGGGAGCAAACGGG
rnacentral:rRNA from 1 species